rnacentral:rRNA from 1 species
CCUACGGGCGGCAGCAGUGGGGAAUAUUGGACAAUGGGGGGAACCCUGAUCCAGCCAUGCCGCGUGUGUGAAGAAGGCCCUCGGGUUGUAAAGCACUUUCAGUGAGGAAGAACGCCUGGUGGUUAAUACCCAUCAGGAAAGACAUCACUCACAGAAGAAGCACCGGCUAACUCCGUGCCAGCAGCCGCGGUAAUACGGAGGGUGCGAGCGUUAAUCGGAAUUACUGGGCGUAAAGCGCGCGUAGGUGGCUUGAUAAGCCGGUUGUGAAAGCCCCGGGCUCAACCUGGGAACGGCAUCCGGAACUGUCAAGCUAGAGUGCAGGAGAGGAAGGUAGAAUUCCCGGUGUAGCGGUGAAAUGCGUAGAGAUCGGGAGGAAUACCAGUGGCGAAGGCGGCCUUCUGGACUGACACUGACACUGAGGUGCGAAAGCGUGGGUAGCAAACAGGAUUAGAUAACCCAGUAGUC